rnacentral:lncRNA from 1 species
AUUCAAUCAAAUUAACAUUACAUUAAUUCAAAUAGCAUCACACUCAUACAAUCAAAAUAGCAUAUUCAUUCAAAAUAGAAUUACACUCUAUCAAAAUAACAUCUUAUUCAAUUAAUGUUGAAUAACAUUAAAUCAAAAAAGCAUAACACUUAAGUUAGUUAAGAGCAUCACAUUCAAUUAAAAUUUAUUGACAGCAACCCAACAAUUACUUGUCAGAUUCAUAUAAAAUUCAUGGGCUGAAAAAUAAAUCUCAAUACCAUCACAUUCAUUAAAUAGUAUUGCAUUCAAUUAAAAUAUCAUCACAUUCAGUAGAUUAGUAUUGCAUUCAAGCUUAAUAUCAUCACAUUCAGUAGAAUAGUAUUACAUUCAAUUUAAAUCACAUUCAGUAGAAUAGUAUUGCAUUCAAGCUUAAUAUCAUCACAUUCAGUAGAAUAGUAUUACAUUCAAUUUAAAUCACAUUCAGUAGAAUAGUAUUGCAUUCAAUUAAAAUAUCAUUCACAUUCAGUAGAAUAGUAUUGCAUUCAAGCUUAAUAUCUUCACAUUCAGUAGAAAAGUAUUGCAUUCAAGCUUAAUAUCUUCACAUUCAGUAGAAUAGUAUUGCAUUCAAU